GACGAACCGAGCGAACGUUUGUCCGGAAUCACUGGGCGUAAAGGGCGCGUAGGUGGCCCCGUCAAGCGCGCGGUGAAAGCCCGGGGCUCAACCCCGGGUCGGCCGUGCGGACUGGCGGGCUCGAGCACUGUAGGGGCGGGUGGAAUUCCGGGUGUAGCGGUGGAAUGCGUAGAGAUCCGGAAGAACACCGGUGGCGAAGGCGGGUCUCUGGGCCGAUACUGACGCUGAGGAGCGAAAGCGUGGGGAGCGAACAGG
rnacentral:rRNA from 1 species